rnacentral:rRNA from 1 species
GUUCUUUUGUUUAUAUAAAAGAUUUGGCCUGCCCAAUGAAUUUUAAAUGGCUGCAGUAUUUUGACUGUACAAAGGUAGCAUAAUCACUUGUCUUUUAAUUGAAGGCUGGAAUGAAAGGUUGGAUGAGAUAUAUACUUUCUUUACUUUAUUUGAAAAAUUUAAUUUCAAGGUUAAAAAGCCUUGAUUAGUCUAUAAGACGAGAAGACCCUAUAGAACUUUAUUCCCCCCUUUCAAAAAUUUAUUUUAGUUUAUCGUUAAAUUUUGAAAAGGGGGAGUUUUGUUGGGGUGACAAAAAAAAUUUUAUAACUUUUUUUAUUUUUGUCAUUUAUGGGUGUUUUAUUGAUCCUUUUUUAUGGAAAUAAGAUUAAGUUACCUUAGGGAUAACAGCGUUAUUAUUGUGGAGAGUUCAUAUCGAUAUAAUAGUUUGCGACCUCGAUGUUGGAUUAAAAUUAGAUUUUGGGGCAGAAAAUAAUUUUCUAGGUCUGUUCGACCUUUAAAUUUUUACA